rnacentral:rRNA from 1 species
UACGAAGGGGGCUAGCGUUGUUCGGAUUUACUGGGCGUAAAGCGCACGUAGGCGGAUUGGUCAGUUAGAGGUGAAAUCCCGAAGCUCAACUUCGGAACUGCCUUUAAUACUGCCAGUCUAGAGUCCGGAAGAGGUAAGUGGAACUCCUAGUGUAGAGGUGGAAUUCGUAGAUAUUAGGAAGAACACCAGUGGCGAAGGCGGCUUGCUGGGCCGGACCUGACGCUGAGACGCGAAGGCGUGGGGAGCGAACGGG